ACCACAGAUAAUCAAGAAUGACCAAAGCAACAUAAAAAUGACUGGAUACUUCCACAAGUUCAGUGAAGACCAUCCUAUGGAGAAAGAAGGAAGAUUCUCUGUGUCACUGAGACAUUUGAAAGGAGAGGGCUUUUCUCAGUUUCUUUAGAAGACUAGUCAAGUGACAGUCAAAGUGCAGUUUUUAGAGAUUUUGAACUUGAAGUUAUAGCUCUUGAAAAGUUCAUAAAAUAUCUAAUUUGGAGAAAAAAUAUAGAUAUGAAUGAUAGAUAUGAUUUUGAGAGAGUGGGGAAGAAGAAUGCAAAGCUUCAUGGUCAUUUUUUUUUUGUCCAUGUAGCACCUGUAAAUGAAAGAAAUUAGCAAACUAAUAAAAAUUGAUUGAACAUUGCUUUUAGGAUAAUUUUGGGUGUACAAAUAUGACAGUGAUUUCGGAGGCACUUGUUUACUUAACCACUACAUGAAAAGGCCGAUGUUGUAAAGAAGAGGUCAGAUAAUUCUUCUUGCUGUGGUCAGGAUGAGGUAUUUAAAUGAAAUAAUAGAAUGAUUUCUUAGAAAUUUUCUCAGAAAAUUCCCAUUCGACUUGGCAACAAGAUAUUAGAACCAAAAGUGAAGGAAGGGAAACAAAGAUUGUCUAGGAGGGUAGUUUGGCAAGAUUAUGUGAAAAAACAGAUCGCUGUUUAACAGAAACUUCUUUCAAGGUUCACAUGUGGAAGGGUCUACCCGGCCUCACAGGUAUGUGGCGAGCAACCUGCUCUGUCAACAGCACAGAGGUGCUGAGCCAGGUGUUUAACAUAAAUUAUCUCAUUUGUUUGCUCUGACAACAUAAUAAGGAAAGUUCAAGAAGCACAUGUUUUGCACAUAAGGAAGUAUAUUUCUUUCUUUAUCUCCUGGCCAUUUGAGGAUAGUUUGAUUUCAAGGUCAUUUCUGUUUUAGUCAUCUUUUUCAUCACUGACCAGAAGACCUGUCAAAAACAGCAUGGAGGAGGAAAAGUUUAUUUGGGGCUCACAGUUUCAAAGGUCGUUGUCCAUAAAUGGCCAAUUCUACUGCUCUGGGCCCAGGGUGAGAUAGAACAUCACCACCAAAGAGAGUGGCAGAGGAAAGCAACUCAGGACACGAUCACCAGCAAACGGAGAGAGACUAUUCUGCUCAACAAGGACAAAAUAUCAACCCCAAAGACAUGUCUGAGUGACCCACUUUCUCCAGCCACACCCUACGUGCUCAUAAUUACCACCCAGUUAAUUCCUAUUGGAGGAUCAAUGCACUGAUUGGGUUAAGGCUCCCUUGACCCAAUCAUUUCACCUCUAAGCUUUCUUGCAUUGCCUCACACAUGAGCUUCUGGGGGACACACCAUAUCUGAACUGUAACAAGGUCCUUCUCUUUAACAGAAGUUGUACUUGUUUGUUUUAUAUUAUGGAGGCAUAGGCUGUACUAUUUAUCAUUGUUUUCCAAAUGUCUAGCAGAGCUUGAGGAAUUAGUGGGAAUGUCAUGGUGUGCUCCAUGAAUGUAUGAAGAUUGUGUUUUUCAUUCUCAUAAUCUUGUUUUUUAAUGUAGGAGCUAGCUAUCCUUGCUGCUUUAGAUCACAGUGAUUAAGAACAAGAGUUUUGGCAUCAAGCAAGCCUAGAUUAACUAUUGACUUUUGUCAAGUUACUAAACACUCCUCGAAACCUCAACCUCUACAUCCAAAAAUGUGAUAAAUGGGGUGCUUCAUAUAAAGCCCUUUGAAGUGGUUGGCACAUAAUAAACUCAUGAUAGAUGGACUUUAUUAUGAGCAGUGGAUUUUAUAGGACAUUUGCUUGCCUUAUUGCAUACAAAAAUCUGCUUCCAUGAAAUACAAAGCAUCCAAACAAGUCAGAGUUUUUUUCCUCCCAUUUUCUGUGUUACAGAAACAGAGUAGUUUCUGCCUGAUCCCAAGCUAUUAUUUUAUUCUUGCAUGAAGACCUCUCUAUAUCUCUCUGGAGAAAUGAAUAAAGGUCCCAUUAGGGGAUUAUAUAUAUGACGAACAGUACUGUUUCCUGGAAAAAGACAUGAUGGGUGAAGAGAAAUUUGAGGCCUACUGUGUUAAAGACAAAGGUGAAAGGUCAUUCUGAAUGUGAUGCUUCCAGCAAGUCAGCCAGCCCCCAGACUGAGUUCUAGGAUAUAGCCCUUAAAUAAGAAUGAACAAAUACCAGUAAGUGGAUGGAGUUAGAGAAGAUAAUGCUAAGCGAAGCUAGCCAAUCCCAAAAAAACAAAUGCCGAAUGUUUUCUCUGAUAUAA